CUCUAACUGUCCAUGACUCUUCUCCAUGUCACAGCUCAGCACUCACAUCACUGCUCCAUCAUUAUUCACAGGAACCAGCCUGGACCUCCACCCAGCUCUGUGUCCUGUAAGAGUGACUGGUCUGCAGAUCGUCCCAUUCAUUUUAAAGUCUCUGCUGCAGAGAGAGGAACUAAACACAAACAUGCACCUGGACCCAGCUGUGUGUCCUGUAAGAGUGACCAGUCUGAAGAUCGUCCCAUUAAUUUUAAAGUCCGGCCUGUGUCUGCUGCAGAGAGGUGAGCUGUUAGCAACAUGAAGUCUUUGAUGUCCCUUUGCUGUCUGAUUUAAAUGAUCUGCUUGAUGGUGUUUCCUGGUCUCUCAUCUGCAUCUGAAAGGAAGUCACUGAGUGAGGAGUUCCUUUAUCCUGUAAAACAUGUCCAACAUUUAGACUCCUCACAGUAGGACCAUCAAUAACAUCGACUCACCUCAAAUUAAUGUUAAAGCAACGGCCGUUCUUUGAAGAUGUAAGGUGCAGAUAUUUGUUUAAAAAUGUAGGGAGUAAAAGUAAAUAUUGUCAGAAAAUAAAAUUAAAAAA